rnacentral:rRNA from 1 species
UGGGGAAUAUUGGACAAUGGGCGAAAGCCUGAUCCAGCCAUGCCGCGUGGGUGAAGAAGGCCUUCGGGUUGUAAAGCCCUUUUGUUGGGAAAGAAAAAUUUCCGGUUAAUACCCGGAGAGAAUGACGGUACCCAAAGAAUAAGCACCGGCUAACUUCGUGCCAGCAGCCGCGGUAAUACGAAGGGUGCAAGCGUUACUCGGAAUUACUGGGCGUAAAGGGUGCGUAGGUGGUUCGUUAAGUCUGAUGUGAAAGCCCUGGGCUCAACCUGGGAAUUGCAUUGGAUACUGGCGGGCUAGAGUGCGGUAGAGGGUAGUGGAAUUCCCGGUGUAGCAGUGAAAUGCGUAGAUAUCGGGAGGAACAUCCGUGGCGAAGGCGACUGCCUGGACCAGCACUGACACUGAGGCACGAAAGCGUGGGGAGCAAACAGG